UAUCUACGUGAAUUGUUUGUGCUGUGCC
rnacentral:sRNA from 1 species